rnacentral:rRNA from 1 species
GACGAACGCUGGCGGCGUGCUUAACACAUGCAAGUCGAACGGAAAGGCCCUGCUUUUGUGGGGUGCUCGAGUGGCGAACGGGUGCGUAACACGUGAGUAACCUGCCCUUGAUUUUGGGAUAACUUCAGGAAACUGGGGCUAAUAUCGGAUAGGAGCUCCUGCUGCAUGGUGGGGGUUGGAAAGUUUCGGCGGUUGGGGAUGGACUCGCGGCUUAUCAGCUUGUUGGUGGGGUAGUGGCUUACCAAGGCUUUGACGGGUAGCCGGCCUGUGAGGGUGACCGGCCACAUUGGGACUGAGAUACGGCCCAGACUCCUACGGGAGGCAGCAGUGGGGAAUAUUGCACAAUGGGCGGAAGCCUGAUGCAGCAACGCCGCGUGCGGGAUGACGGCCUUCGGGUUGUAAACCGCUUUCGCCUGUGACGAAGCGUGAGUGACGGUAAUGGGUAAAGAAGCACCGGCUAACUACGUG